GAAAGCCUGUUGAAACUAUCAACACUCCUGGAUGCAACCCAGACACUCUAAUUAAGCUAAGACCUC
rnacentral:tRNA from 1 species